UUCUCACUCUCUCUGCUUUUCCCUUAUAAAUGGGCAUAAAGAGUUACAAUUGUUAGACAUUAAGAUCAGAAUGCCAUCAAAAAUCAGUUCCAGGAGAGCCAACAAUGCUGUUUACAAUUUACAUCAGUUUGAUUUUCAUGGAGACGAGGCGGGUAAUGCAGAUUUUCCAAGAAAGUAUGCUCAAGCUUUGGAAUGAAUGGGAGGUCGUGCGACAGUUAUACUUAGCCUCUUCCUACAAAUUGUCGUCAUCAACUUUGGCAUCCGACGAAAGUACACAGUUAAACCCUGGAUCAGAAUCCUUGUUUGGUUUAAUACUCGUCAGCAGAUUGGGUGGCAACUGUUUCACCGGGUACCCUCUCCGACAGCCAAGGAGAUUUAGGGAGUUUAAGACCAAAAUAAUAUAUUUGUAAAAAAAAAUGAUAAGAAUAGUAUCCAUUUGAAAAUAUUUGUCAAAGUAGUCUUCUUUAUCCA